AUAAAGCAGGAUGGAAGAACCGUCUUUGUUCCAGACGAUGCGCUUAAUUUCUGUAAUGGACAACAGGCUCAUUGAUUUCAACGACACAGCAUCCAUCAGUUCAAAACUCACGUGAGGACUUCGGCAAACUCCCCAGGUUUGUCAUCCUACUUGGCUUUGGAAUCCACCACUGGGUAAAAA